rnacentral:rRNA from 1 species
AGGAUAAACGCUGGCGGCGUGCCUAACACAUGCAAGUCGAACGUCCUACGCAAGUAGGGAGUGGCGGACGGGUGAGUAACACGUGGGCAAUCUACCUUUCGGUGAGGAAUACCGGCGAGAAAUCGCCGACAAUACCGCAUACGCUUCGCAAGAAGCAAAGUCGCAAGACGCCGGAGGAGGAGCCUGCGCCCGAUUAGCUGGUUGGUGGAGUAAUGGUCUACCAAGGCGACGAUCGGUAGCUGGUCUGAGAGGAUGAUCAGCAUCACUGGGACUGAGACACGGCCCAGACUCCUACGGGAGGCAGCAGUGGGGAAUAUUGGACAAUGGGCGCAAGCCUGAUCCAGCCAUGCCGCGUGGAUGAUGAAGGCCUUAGGGUUGUAAAGUCCUUUUAACGGGGAAGAUAAUGACGGUACCCGUAGAAUAAGCCCGGCUAACUUCGUGCCAGCAGCCGC